GAUUAACCCCCCAUAGUCUCUUUAAAUGGCAUCAUUUUUAGAGAAAGGUUACGGUAUAAGAUGAGUAUGCGUUCUAUUAGUUUGUUGGUGAGGUAACGGCUCACCAAGACUGCGAUAGAUAGGGGCCCUGAGAGGGGGACCCCCACACUGGUACUGAGACACGGACCAGAUCUCUACGGGAGGCAGCAGUGAGGAAUAUUGGACAAUGGAGGCAACUCUGAUCCAGCCAUGCCGCGUGCAGGAAGACUGCCCUAUGGGUUGUAAACUGCUUUUAUACAGGAAGAAACCUUGGUACGUGUACCAAGCUGACGGUACUGUAAGAAUAAGGAUCGG
rnacentral:rRNA from 1 species